ACUCCUACGGGGAGGCAGCAGUGGGGAAUAUUGCACAAUGGGCGCAAGCCUGAUGCAGCCAUGCCGCGUGUGUGAAGAAGGCCUUCGGGUUGUAAAGCACUUUCAGUCGUGAGGAAGGUAGUGUAGUUAAUAGCUGCAUUAUUUGACGUUAGCGACAGAAGAAGCACCGGCUAACUCCGUGCCAGCAGCCGCGGUAAUACGGAGGGUGCGAGCGUUAAUCGGAAUUACUGGGCGUAAAGCGCAUGCAGGUGGUUUGUUAAGUCAGAUGUGAAAGCCCGGGGCUCAACCUCGGAAUUGCAUUUGAAACUGGCAGACUAGAGUACUGUAGAGGGGGGUAGAAUUUCAGGUGUAGCGGUGAAAUGCGUAGAGAUCGUGAAGGAAUACCGGUGGCGAAGGCGGCCCCCCUGGACAGAUACUGACACUCGAGAUGCGAAAGCGUGGGGAGCAAACAGGAUUAGAUACCCUGGUA
rnacentral:rRNA from 1 species